GGUGCUUGGAGCACUGGGGGCAGGGAGGACGGGACGUUUCAGAAGCCAGAGCCGUCGUUUGCAGAGCUGGAAAAGAGACUCAGCGAUUUCUCUCUGAAAAGUGCCAUGCUGCAGGAGGUGCUGCUGGGAUUCAAAGAGAUGCUGCGACGCGGGCUGGGGAGCGACACAGCCAUCCCGAUGAUAAUUAAUUUCUGGGAAACAUCCUCAGCAGAAUUAUUCGAAGAUGUUGCACCCGAGAGUAAAGG
rnacentral:lncRNA from 1 species